rnacentral:rRNA from 1 species
GAUGAACGCUGGCGGCGUGCCUAAUACAUGCAAGUCGAGCGAACAGACGAGGAGCUUGCUCCUCUGACGUUAGCGGCGGACGGGUGAGUAACACGUGGAUAACCUACCUAUAAGACUGGGAUAACUUCGGGAAACCGGAGCUAAUACCGGAUAAUAUAUUGAACCGCAUGGUUCAAUAGUGAAAGACGGUUUUGCUGUCACUUAUAGAUGGAUCCGCGCCGCAUUAGCUAGUUGGUAAGGUAACGGCUUACCAAGGCAACGAUGCGUAGCCGACCUGAGAGGGUGAUCGGCCACACUGGAACUGAGACACGGUCCAGACUCCUACGGGAGGCAGCAGUAGGGAAUCUUCCGCAAUGGGCGAAAGCCUGACGGAGCAACGCCGCGUGAGUGAUGAAGGUCUGCGGAUCGUAAAACUCUGUUAUUAGGGAAGAACAAAUAUGUAAGUAACUAUGCACGUCUUGACGGUACCUAAUCAGAAAGCCACGGCUAACUACGU